rnacentral:sRNA from 1 species
UAAGUAGUUGUACGGUGUAAACUUUAGU